UGCCCUCCUCUCCCCGCUGUGCCAGGCACUGGUGAGGCACUGGGAAUGCUGUGGAAGUGCUGUGGGCACUGCCUGGGCAGGGUGAGGGUCUGGCUCCACAUUUCUCCCUCCCUCUGCCCCCUCCUGCCCUGGCCAGUGGAGACAGUUUCCUUGGAUCUCUUGAUGAACAUCCACUGCUCUUUGCAGCUAAUGCUUCCCACAGCCCUGUAAUGCUUCUGGUCUAUGGGCAGGCUGCUUCAUUAAGUGGUUCUCCCUUCUCUGCUCUGGCU